rnacentral:rRNA from 1 species
GACGAACGCUGGCGGCGUGCCUCAAACAUGCAAGUCGAGCGGGGAACUUUUAAAAGCGCAAGCUUUUAAAAGUUCCUAGCGGCGAACGGGUGAGUAACACGUGGGCAACCUACCCAGAAGACCGGGAUAACGGCUCGAAAGGGCCGCUAAUACCGGAUAAUGUCGGGGUACCGCAUGGUACUCCGAAGAAAGGGGAAACCCGCUUUUGGAUGGGCCCGCGUCCCAUCAGCUAGUUGGUGAGGUAACGGCUCACCAAGGCGACGACGGGUAGCCGGUCUGAGAGGAUGGUCGGCCACACUGGGACUGAGACACGGCCCAGACUCCUACGGGAGGCAGCAGUUGGGAAUCUUGGGCAAUGGGCGAAAGCCUGACCCAGCGACGCCGCGUGAGGGAAGAAGGCCUUCGGGUCGUAAACCUCUGUCAUGGGGAAGAAGCAAGUGACGGUACCCCAAGAGGAAGCCCCUGCUAACUACGUG